rnacentral:lncRNA from 1 species
CGACUACUAAGAAUUUACAAAGGAGUCAAUCCUUUUACAAAACAAAAGUCCUACGUCAAAAAGGAAAGCGCGGAAGGUGGAAAACGGCUCGGUGGUGGAUCCUUGUGCACACCUACUGCCUGGGGGCGCAAAACAUUUAAAAAAAGAGUGAGUGGACCCAAAAAUAAAGUUUAGAAAAUAGCAUAUGAACAUACUAACCCCACUGUAAAAACAGUUAUACAAACUAACUUAUUCUCUUUAUUACUGAAAUCAAUGCACUCAUAUAAUUAUACAUGUAUAUAAGCCAAUCAUACUCAUGGUCAACAUUAAUUUCUUAAGGCAUUGAAAACAGUUUAAAACUACCACCUAGGUGUACCCCUUAUUUCUGUCAAUUCCUUGCAUCACCAUGGUGAUAUGUACUCGCAGGUCUUAGUGACACAAGGUCAGUCCGAGCAGCAACUAGCAGGAUUUAGGGGACCGUAGUCAGCCUGAUCCGCAUUACUUGCUUCACACGAGUUCGGGUAGCAUAGAACUCGUGGGGCAACUGUCAAGCAUGCUGACUAAACGGAAGGCUACCAAUAAAAUCCAAAGGCAACAUUUGAUCGAAUUUUUUUAGUCUUUUUUUUUUUUUUGAUUUAAAGUAGGUUACUUUUUCUUAGUCUUUUUUUUUUUUGAUCGAAUUUUCUUAGUAAGAUAAGAGUAAAUUAGGGAAGAGGAAGUUUUUAAAUUGCUACAGUUUUAAGAUAUUAACAUUUUUAUUUUUAUUUUAGAAAGAUAGAAAUAGAAAUGUGGAAAGACUAGCAAAGGAUCCAGAUCUUGAAACUGACAAAACAAAGGUCUUUUAAUU